AGUGAGCGCUGGCGAUAGGCCUAACACAUGCAAGUCGAACGGCAGCACAGUAAGAGCUUGCUCUUACGGGUGGCGAGUGGCGGACGGGUGAGGAAUACAUCGGAAUCUACUUUUUCGUGGGGGAUAACGUAGGGAAACUUACGCUAAUACCGCAUACGACCUACGGGUGAAAGCAGGGGAUCUUCGGACCUUGCGCGAUUGAAUGAGCCGAUGUCGGAUUAGCUAGUUGGCGGGGUAAAGGCCCACCAAGGCGACGAUCCGUAGCUGGUCUGAGAGGAUGAUCAGCCACACUGGAGCUGAGACACGGUCCAGACUCCUACGGGAGGCAGCAGUGGGGAAUAUUGGACAAUGGGCGCAAGCCUGAUCCAGCCAUACCGCGUGGGUGAAGAAGGCCUUCGGGUUGUAAAGCCCUUUUGUUGGGAAAGAAAAGCAGCAGGUUAAUACCCCGCUGUUCUGACGGUACCCAAAGAAUAAGCACCGGCUAACUUCGUG
rnacentral:rRNA from 1 species